rnacentral:ncRNA from 1 species
GACUCAAAAGAUGGUAAACUAUGCCUGGGCAGGGCAAAGCCAGAGGAAACUCUGGUGGAGGUGCAUAGUGAUCCUGACAUGCAAAUCGGUCAUCCAGCCUGGGUAUGGGGCAAAAGACUAAUCCAACUAUCUAGUAGCUGG